rnacentral:antisense_RNA from 1 species
UUGUUGAGCAUGUUACAGUCAUCAUUUUCUGCAUGUCUAACCAUCCUAGUAGACUGAACCCUUGGUGUGCAGGGACUAGUGCCUAGCAGACUAUACAUAUUUAAAUAUUAAGUUAAUAAAUGAGAUUCAAAUAAUUUAAGAGAAACUAAUAGAUGUCAACUAGGAAAACUAUUAAAGGAUAUUAACUUUAGUGAUACUAUACCAGGCACACACAAAAUAUCAUGUAUCUAUUGAAAAAUGGACGCUUAUCUACAAAAUUACACCAUCAGUGAGGAAAUAUAUGACUGAAGAAUACCAUUAAAGAACAAACAGAACUUACUGGAGGAGUUUUCUGAGACAGCUCUCUAUUCAACCUGUCAGUAAAACUCUGUAUUAGUGUGUUUCCUCCUGCCACUAUUACACUGCCAUAGAGACCCUAGGAUAAAAAUACAAGAAAAAUCAAUUAGUUCCAUAUGUUUCCAAAAGUUUUAAAUACAACUACAAAUAUAACCAUGUGCUCUACUACA